GGGGGUGUACUGGCUUUCGACGGGAUGUGUGAAACUCGAGCAGCAUGUCGAGGAUUAUCGGUUGGCCUCGUAAAUCAUCCGAUAAAAACAACAAUUGCCGAAGACUAUUCUUUUGCAAUGGCUGCCUAAUUUGAGCGGCCAGUCUAUCAUGUGAGUGCGUUCGCAGCAUGGUAGACCCGAUGAGAGCGCUGGUUCGGCCGGGGUGCGUUGACCGGCCGGGCGAGAUCAAUCGACGCUGGCUGUUGGGUGAGCUUGUUCUUCGGCGCACCAGGCAGUGAGAUCAAAUGAAGAACUAAACAUGUAGCGGCUCGCGCUGAUCGCUUCUCGGACAGGGGUUCAAUUCCCCUCACCUCCAUAA
rnacentral:tmRNA from 1 species